rnacentral:rRNA from 1 species
UACGAAGGGGGCUAGCGUUGCUCGGAAUCACUGGGCGUAAAGGGUGCGUAGGCGGGUCUUUUAAGUCAGGGGUGAAAUCCUGGAGCUCAACUCCAGAACUGCCUUUGAUACUGAGGAUCUUGAGUUCGGGAGAGGUGAGUGGAACUGCGAGUGUAGAGGUGGAAUUCGUAGAUAUUCGCAAGAACACCAGUGGCGAAGGCGGCUCACUGGCCCGAUACUGACGCUGAGGCACGAAAGCGUGGGGAGCAAACAGGG